UAGGAGCUUAACUCNUAAAUUGCCAUUGAUACUGGCGGGCUUGAGUGUAGAUGAGNUAGGCGGAAUGCGUGGUGUAGCGGUGGAAUGCAUAGAUAUCACGCAGAACUCCAAUUGCGAAGGCAGCUUACUAAGGUACAACUGACGCUGAAGCACGAAAGCGUGGGUAUCAAACAGGAUUAGAUACCCUGGUAGUCCACGCAGUAAACGAUGAUAACUGGGCGUAUGCGAUAUACAGUAUGCUCNUAAGCGAAAGCGUUAAGUUAUCCACCUGGGGAGUACGCCGGCAACGGUGAAACUCAAAGGAAUUGACGGGGGCCCGCACAAGCGGAGGAACAUGUGGUUUAAUUCGAUGAUACGCGAGGAACCUUACCCGGGAUUGAAAUGUAGACGACGAGCGGUGAAAGUCGCUUUCCCUUCGGGGCGUCUAUGUAGGUGCUGCAUGGUUGUCGUCAGCUCGUGCCGUGAGGUGUCGGCUUAAGUGCCAUAACGAGCGCAACCCCUGUCUACGGUUGCCAUCAGGUAAUGCUGGGAACUCCGUAGAGACUGCCGUCGUAAGGCGUGAGGAAGGUGGGGAUGACGUCAAAUCAGCACGGCCCUUACAUCCGGGGCGACACACGUGUUACAAUGGUGGGGACAAAGGGCAGCUACCUGGCGACAGGAUGCGAAUCUCCAAACCCCAUCACAGUUCGGAUCGGAGUCUGCAACUCGACUCCGUGAAGCUGGAUUCGCUAGUAAUCGCGCAUCAGCCAUGGCGCGGUGAAUACGUUCCCGGGCCUUGUACACACCGCCCGUCAAGCCAUGGGAGUCUGGAGUACCUAAAGUCCGUACCCGCGAGGGACGGCCUAGGGUAA
rnacentral:rRNA from 1 species